UACGGAGGGUGCAAGCGUUAUCCGGAUUCACUGGGUUUAAAGGGUGCGUAGGUGGGUUGAUAAGUCAGUGGUGAAAUCCCCGAGCUUAACUUGGGAACUGCCAUUGAUACUAUUGAUCUUGAAUACCGUGGAGGUCAGCGGAAUAUGUCAUGUAGCGGUGAAAUGCUUAGAUAUGACAUAGAACACCAAUUGCGAAGGCAGCUGGCUACGCGAACAUUGACACUGAUGCACGAAAGCGUGGGGAUCAAACAGG
rnacentral:rRNA from 1 species